CAUCCCACAGGCAUCUGGGUACAAUGGAGCAUUUUACACGCUGGUAAACUUUUGGGAAACUUUAUUGAAGUCAGAUGAUCCUUUUCUCCUUUCCCCAAAGUAAGGCCACAGGUGCUGCCUUGAAGGGCUCACGUGGCAGAGCUGACGGUCAAGGGAUGGUGCUGAAGAUCUUCUAGAAUGCUACGGGCCAGGGUUCACCUCCAUGAGCAUCUCCCUGGGGGACUUUAUGGAAACCCUCAGGACAGAAUGAAUGUUCUCCGGGACCAGCAGACCAAUGCAGGGGCUGGUGUGAAAAGCCAGAGCGUCUUACUCACUUUCCUUGCCACGGAGCCACAAUGCCUGAUGCCCACAGUUUAAAGAAGGAAAGAAAGGUUUAUUCUGGCUCAUGUUUUCAGGAGAGUCAGUCCAUGGUCAGCUGGCUUUAAAGCAGAAAUGGCAGGGUGGAAAAGAGCCUGGUACAGAAGAGAGCUGCUCACGUCAUGGCAGCCAGGAAGCUCACAGGCGCUAGGGAGGGAGAUGCGCCCUUCCAGAUCACCGUGCAGUGACCUGCCUCUCACUGGCUCCCACCUCCUAACAGUAUACUCAGCUGCUCUACUCCCCCCACCAUAUGAUCACCUUCCGAAAACCCUGUCCCUGAACAACGAGGCUUUUGGGAGACAUUCUCCAUCUAGGCCAUAACAUUGAGAAUACAGGUCGCUCUGGUCAGAAGGAACUCCAUACUGUAGCCCAGAGCUGUUUCCUGUCUCCUCCACGCGUCCCACCCUUGGACCUGCUACCUCCUCCCUCUGCUCCUGGGUGCAGCUCUUGCAGGAAGCCUUCCUGGGCCCAUCAUCUCCCUGGCAAGCACCCCUGUGCUGCCAUAUACUUUUGCUUCCAGCCUCCAGCCUUCUAAAUAUCCCAGUGCAGCUGCCUAACUGCAGUCACCUGCAGUCUUCAGACUCAAAUUCUUCGUCAGAAGCUUCUGGGCUACCCCGACCCCUAGGACCCCUGUACCUGGCACACCGGAGGUGCUCAGGAGAGUUUGUGCACAGGCGUGUGAGAACUGGAAGGUGGACCGGAGCUUCCCAGAGUGCUCCCCUGCGUGUAUGCUCUCCCAGAGUGACAGAAAGGCUGGGCUGCAGAGUUGGUCCAUGGGGACAGCUGUGGAACCAGUGUGUGUCUGGGACCGCAGAGAGCUGCCAGUCUCCGUUGGUUGGUCCCCUAGGAUGUGAGGACCUGAACAUGGGGCUCAGGAAGAGCAGAAGUUGUGAGGUCCCAGAUCCAGUAAUAAGGUGGAUGAGGACCCACUGCAGUGUUUGAAUGAACCUCGCUUUCAUUAGAUGGCACGCGGUAGCAGCACGCAGCAUACUUUUGAUCCCACCUUCUACAUAGCUGUUGAAUGCAUGAAUAAAGGAGCCAGUGAAUAACUAGCUCAAUAGAUGAAUGGCGCCAAGUCUCACCUGUCUCGCUCCC
rnacentral:lncRNA from 1 species